rnacentral:sRNA from 1 species
AUGAAACUGCUGGGAAGUGGAAGUCUUCUGUUUAUUCACAAAACUGAUACAGCAUAGUAAGUAACUGUUUCUUCACACUGCCCUGCCAAUGUACCUCAACCCUGACUUAGCUAGCAAAGUAAUCUGCUUUCUGUGACCAUUCAGACCUUGUCCAUU